AACAGGACCUUGGAUCCUAGGGGAACCCCAACCCUUGCUGAAAAGUUGGAAAUAAUUUUGCUUGCAUAAGCCCCACAAGACUGAUGGGCUGGCAGGUAACUGCUCUCCAAUGGUGUAACACCUGGGAAAGGAGAACCACAGGUGCUGGACCCCAGGCAGAGCUUCUGGGGAAAUUGCAGUGAGGCGCAGAAGGACUGCAAGCUUAAACGCCGGUCUGGAGUGAGAGACAUGGGUCUCCGCCUCAGAAAGGACACCAGAAAGGAAGGAAGCCAGAAACCUCAAGUGGGUGUCCUCGAGGAAGACUUGGGGAGGGAAGGUGCAGUUACCCCUGAAACGGUGGCAGGGGUAACACUUGCCCACCUCGCAGGACUGUUGUGGAUCCCUCAAGCAAACCAUGAUCGAGUCGUCCUUGUCCCGCCGGCCCUUGAAGAAGGAGCAGGCCCAGCCCUGUACAAGAAGCCGCAUCAUGUGAUCAGUCUGUGUUCGCUCAGGAAGCUGAAGGAGACUCUCACCAGGGGUUAGCGUAACCAAGGAAACUGACCUCAGCUGGUGCGAUACAGCUGUGCGGGUCACUGAAUUCUCACACGGGGCCUGGCUGGAGUCUCAUCAGCUGGUCUGCAUUACGUGGCCCGGGGCUGUGAAAAAUCCACACCCCUGAGCCAUGGAGUCCAGCUGCCCUAACUGCAGAGCUACAGGGACCACCUCUCCGGCCGUGGCCUCUCUGCUGAGCAGGGGAGUGGCUGGGGGUGUGUGUAGUAGAUCCCACGUUCUGGGCUGUACCUACCAGGGGAGAGCACAGCAUCCCCACAAGGGGUGUUUCUGUCCUGUACUGGGCACCCCCAUGCUAGCCAGUGCGGUUGAGUCAGCAGGGGUGGGGUGGGGGCAGGAUUAGUAACUUAGACCUGGCAGAGGCCAACAGUAAGUUUCUGCACGCAGGAACAAAGAGAAAAUGGGAUGAAGUGAGUGAGGUGCCAGUGUCUCUGGGAGCAUGGUUCCUUGCUCAGGCUGUACCUAAAGUCACUAACUAGCCCGUUAUUUGCCCAGCAGCUUCAGGUCAGAUGCAGCCGCUGUUUUUUCACUGCUGUGCUGGUUCCUCGCUAGGAGGAGGCUGGCCCUGUUACCCCUUUACUCAGUUUCUCAGGGAAGAGCGGCCUGCUUAGCUCCAGCUGGCAUCUGAGCUCCUUCAGCGCAGUCAGGUGAAUCGGCUCGUGGCUUGUGAUUGGCAGGUCUUUAUAGACCCGUCACGGCUCCACUGGUGCAUGCAGACAUGAGCUAGGCAGGCUGGCUGUUUAUGACUAUUUCUGCUGCUCUGACCCAAAGGGAUGGGUGGGGUGAGACUGGUGGCUAGAACCAGGCUUCUGCUAACUGGAGGCUGAUUGAUGGAUAACUGGCAUUAGUCCUAUCAGCUGGUCUGGCUCUGAUAGCAGGAAGGAGCGAAGCAUGGAACCCAAAAGGAACCAAUCAGAGGUAACGAUGGUUCACUGCCAGCCUCUGACACAGAUUGAGCGGACGUGGAGUGUUUGCCUCUCAAUCCUCCCCUGGCUGGCUUUGCUAGCAGAGUGGGCCUUGCAUGGAGCCCCUGCUCUUGCUGCAUCUGCCUGCUCUCAGGUGUAGCUGCAGUGUUGAUGACCUGGUUCAAGCAAACUCUUGGAGAGACUCUCUAAUCAGGCCUCAGGGUGAUCAUUCCCAUUUAAUUGCUUGCACCUGUCCUCAUGCAGGAUUCCCUAGGUGCUGGACACACUGAGACAGCAAUCACUGUGUCCCCCCAAAAUGCAGCCCCUUCUGGGGUGGAACAUAACAGCCAUUUACCAGCACACAGGGACACUACACAAGCACAAGGAGCAAAGAACAGUGGUGCAGCAGGGAGAAUUCAGGCAGACAGCACGUUGCUACUCACGGAGGCAUUUAGCUGCAACUCAAGGGUUAAUGCAGUUCU